GUAUGCUUGAUGAUUUUGAGCAUUGUGACUUGAGGUAUUUCAUGUGGACUAUUGUUUGGAUGGGGUCGCGCAUUAAAGUGGAGAUGUUGAGUAUGAUCCUUUUGUGAUAGAUUCGUGUGUUUUUGUUCUACUGUGUGUGAUGUGUUAUUAGCAUUGCGUUGUGAUGGUAUUUUUAGAGCUUGUGGAGCGGUUCUCGCAUUC
rnacentral:lncRNA from 1 species